rnacentral:ncRNA from 1 species
CGACCCUUUGAACCUGAUCCGGGUAAUGCCGGCGGAGGGACGAUACGAAGCCUGAUU